rnacentral:tRNA from 1 species
CGCCCCGUGGGCCAGGUUCAGCCCGCCGUCGCUGCCGGCGAACUGGCGGAUGUCGCCGGGGUAGAGCCGGUCCUCGCGGUGCGGGGUGGC